rnacentral:rRNA from 1 species
CAAUCACUUGUCUUUUAAAUGAAGACCUGUAUGAAUGGCAAAACGAGGGCUUAGCUGUCUCCUUCCCCCAGUCAAUGAAAUUGAUCUCCCCGUGAAGAAGCGGGGAUACUUACAUAAGACGAGAAGACCCUAUGGAGCUUUAGACACCAAGGCAGAUCACGUUAAAACCCCCGAAUAAGGGAAUAAACAAGAUGAAGACUGCCCUAUGUCUUUGGUUGGGGCGACCGCGGGGCAAAAAGUACCCCCCAUGUGGAAAGGGAACACCCUUCCUAUCACCCAGAGCUACCGCUCUAAUUAUCAGAACAUCUGACCAAAAGAUCCGGCUCAAGCCGAUCAACGGACCGAGUUACCCUAGGGAUAACAGCGCAAUCCCCUUCUAGAGACCC